GACGAACGCUGGCGGCGUGCUUAACACAUGCAAGUCGAACGGAAAGGCCUGCUUUCCCUUGUGGAUUGCGGGUACUCGAGUGGCGAACGGGUGAGUAACACGUGAGUGAUCUGCCCCCAACUUGGGUAUAAGCCUGGGAAACUGGGUCUAAUUCCCGAUAGGACUGCAGGGUGGUGCCUGUGGUGGAAAACGAUUUUCUAGUGGUUGGGGAUGAGCUCGCGGCCUAUCAGCUUGUUGGUGGGGUAAUGGCCUACCAAGGCGGCGACGGGUAGCCGGCCUGGGAGGGUGGACGGCCACAUUGGGACUGGGAUACGGCCCAGACGCCUACGGGAGGCAGCAGUGGGGAAUAUUGCACAAUGGGCGGAAGCCUGAUGCAGCGACGCCGCGUGGGGGAUGACGGCCUUCGGGUUGUAAACUCCUUUCGACCGCGAGGAAGCCACCUGGUUGGAAGGGUGGUGACGGUAGUGGUAGAAGAAGCACCGGCUAACUACGUG
rnacentral:rRNA from 1 species